AUUAGGUCUUUGACCAGCCCACCAUGAGGAUUGAGCUCGGAUUUGGUGUCAAAUCGGCUUGGGAGCUGAUCCAUUAGUGGUUGGGAGGCCGACCAAUUUCCAUAAAUGUGUCGUUUAGGAGGCGUGUGGGUUUUUCGCCCAACAGCCUCGCAUUGAGCGCUGAUGCGCGCAUUAUACGUUGAUGUUAUGCGCAUAUACGCGCGCACCCAGGUUCUGUAAAGCGCCCUUCAAUUUUUUGGUCAUUUUGUAUAGUUUUUGACCCUUUUUGCAAUGUUGUGGAAUUAAUCCUGUGCCAUGAAUGACUUCAGUCCUGUUUUGACGAUGUGGAGUUCUUGUCGCCAUGUGCGGACGAAAUUUCAGUGAUAACAAUGGAUCUUCGUGCGUUUGGGCGCCCAUCUUGCCAACUUGCCUUGCAUUGCAUUUGUGUGCCCCUCUUUCCAAGUCGCCUUGCCUUGCCCUUGGUCACCCAACCUUGGCUAGGCCUUAUUAAAAAAUCUACCUCCAAGCCAAAAUUGGUUCUUAUCCAUCCUCCAGCUCAUCUUUUUUCCUAGUGCUCCCUUGUCUGGUUGUUUUCAUUACGGCUCUUCAUGUGUUUGGGCGCCCAUCUUGCCAACUCACCUUGUGUUGCAUUUGGGAGCCCAUAUUUCCAACUCACCUUGCAUUGCAUUUGGGCACCCAUCUUGCCAACUUGCCUUGCGUUGUGUUUGGGUGCCCAUCUCGCCAACUCACCUUGCACUGUGUUUGGGCGCCCAUCUUGUUAUGGCUCUUCGUGCGUUUGGGCUCCCAUAUUGCCAACUUUCCUUACAUUGUGUUUGGGCACCCCUCUUUCCAAGUCUCCUUACCUUGCCCUUGGUCACCCAACCUUGGCUAGGAUAUAUUAAAAAAUCUACCUCCAAGCCAAAAAUUGUUUCUUAUCCAUCCUCCAACUUGCCUUUUUGCCUAGUGCUCCCUUGUAUGGUCAUUUUCAUUACGGCUCUUCGUGCGUUUGGGUGCUCGUAUUGCCAACUUGCAUUGCGUUGUGUUUGGGCACCCCUCUUUCCAAGUCGCCUUUCCUUUCCCUUGGUCGCCCAACCUUGGCUAGGCCGUAUUCAAAAAUCUACCUUCAUUCCAAAAUUGGUUCUUAUCCGUCCUCCAGCUCGUCUUUUUGCCUAGUGCUCCCUUCUCUGAUUGUUUUCAUUACGACUCUUCGUGCAUUUGAGCGCCCAUUUUUGGUAAGCAGAACUGGCGAUGUGGGAUGAACCAAAAGUUGAGUUAUGGUGCCAAAUUGUGCGGUAACCCAAAUCCCACAAAGGUUGUUGGUUAAUUAAGAAAGUUGGACGGUGGUCAUGGAAGUCGAAAUCUGCUAAGGAGUGUGUAACAACUCACCUGUUGAAUCAACUAUCCCAAAAUAUGGAUGGCACUGAGGCGUGCAACCUAUACUCAAUCAUAGGAGAAAUUGUAAGGCUUCGAUGAGUAGGAGGACACGGGGGUCGUUGAGAAACAUUGGGCGUGAGCCUGGGUGGACCAGUCCCCGGUGUAGAUCUUGGUGGUAGUAGAAAAUAUUCAAAUAAGAACUUUGAAGAGUGAAGUGGGGAAAGGUUCCAUGUGAACAACACUUGGACAUGCUUUAGUUGAUCCUAAGAUAUGGGGAAGCCCUGUAUCAAGGGUGCACUCAUCAUGAACAUUGAAAGGGAAUCAGGUAAAUAUUAUCGAACCGGGACAUGGUGGCAGACGACAACAUUAGGAAAUACAGAGAUGUUUUUGGAGGCCUCAUGAAGAGUUAUAUUUUAUUUUGCGUUGCGUUCGGGCCCCCAUCUUGCCAACUUUCCUUUCGUUGUGUUUGGGAAACCAUCUUUCCAACUUGCCUUGCCUUGUGU
rnacentral:ncRNA from 1 species